AUGCAUCUGUGGCAAGCUUUUCUUAGUGAAGAUCCCAGUUUUAAAGGCAUCUACAGUGAACAGAAUACUUUUCUGACUACUCCAUCUGGAAUUUACGCUCCCCAAAUUGCAAUUCUGAGUCUCCAAAUAAAGGUCUUUGUUCUUUUUCAGUUUACCCUCCUUUUCUCAGUUGAUGGUAAGUUUGAUGUUUAUCCCACAAACAGUCACACAUUGUUCCUGGCACUGGGGGUCUCCAAGGAGCGGGUAGUAAGUGGAGCCUUGGUUCUGAUCCUGCUUUGAUAUAUCUGUGACUUUAUUUACUUAUUUAUUAUUAUUAUUUUUAAAAGGUUCAUCCAUUUAUUUGAGUGUGUGCAAGAAGGCAUGCGCACUGGGGGAGGGGUAGGAGGAGAGGGAGAGAGAGAAUCUCAAGCACACUUGUUGGUGAGCUCAGAGCUCAAGGAAGGGCUUGAUCUCAGGACCCUGAGACUGUGACCUGAGUUGAAAUAAAGAGUCGUGUUCAUAACUGACUGAGCCA
rnacentral:lncRNA from 12 species